rnacentral:rRNA from 1 species
GAUGAACGCUGGCGGCGUGCCUAAUACAUGCAAGUCGAGCGAACAGACGAGGAGCUUGCUCCUCUGACGUUAGCGGCGGACGGGUGAGUAACACGUGGAUAACCUACCUAUAAGACUGGGAUAACUUCGGGAAACCGGAGCUAAUACCGGAUAAUAUAUUGAACCGCAUGGUUCAAUAGUGAAAGACGGUUUUGCUGUCACUUAUAGAUGGAUCCGCGCCGCAUUAGCUAGUUGGUAAGGUAACGGCUUACCAAGGCAACGAUGCGUAGCCGACCUGAGAGGGUGAUCGGCCACACUGGAGCUGAGACACGGUCCAGACUCCUACGGGAGGCAGCAGUAGGGAAUCUCCCGCAAUGGGCGAAAGCCUGACGGAGCAACGCCGCGUGAGUGAUGAAGGUCUUCGGAUCGUAAAACUCUGUUAUUAGGGAAGAACAAAUGUGUAAGUAACUAUGCACGUCUUGACGGUACCUAAUCAGAAAGCCACGGCUAACUACGUG